rnacentral:misc_RNA from 1 species
AACGCAAAUUGCGCUCGAGGCUUCGGCCAAGAGCAUGUCUGCCUCAGCGUCGGGUUAAUACUCACAUUUUCACUGCAGCCAGAGUGCACAUGUGGAUCUUGCUGUCUCGGUUUAUUUUAAUUAAUUAACCGGGUCAGCUGAAGUGCAGAUGUCAAGGCAUGGUCCGUUAAAUCUGGCCUCUACUGGGUAGGCAACUUGGUUGGUGUAUUGCUUUAGUAGAUUGCUUGGGGACUGCCUUUGGCAUGAAUCAGGAGUAUCUGUUCAUACAGGUACAACCAAUUCCAUUUUCUCGACCUGAGCUCAGGCAAGAUUACCCGCUGAACUUAA